rnacentral:ncRNA from 1 species
UUGAGCCGGAUGCAGGGAAACUUGCACGUCCGGUUCUUAGGGGGGAGGAUGACCGUGAGGUCAUCUUCCUACCCGAC